AGGAUACGGUUAACGGAGCGAAAGCGACGUUCAACCGCAAAACAAGCAGAGGGGGCUUAGUGGUGGGGUGACUGCGUACCUUUUGUAUAAUGGGUCAGCGACUUAUAUUCUGUAGCAAGGUUAACCGUAUAGGGGAGCCGGAGGGAAACCGAGUCUUAAUUGGGCGUUAAGUUGCAGGGUAUAGACCCGAAACCCGGUGAUCUAGCCAUGGGCAGGUUGAAGGUUGGGUAACACUAACUGGAGGACCGAACCGAC
rnacentral:rRNA from 1 species